rnacentral:lncRNA from 1 species
ACUACAGCUACAUUUUAUAUAUAUUAACUACACGAUGAAAAAUAAUGUUAAUUUAAUUGAAUAUAAUCAUAGGUAAAUCAUGAUAAAAUCAAAAAUGACAAAUAUAUUUUUAAACUUUAUCAUUGUUUAUCAUGAACAAAAUAAAUAAAGUCUUCAUGGUGUACAGUGUAAUAGUUACCAUGUAUAUUUAUUGAAAAUGCGCAUGCGCAAGCGUGGAAAAAACCACAAAGAACGGUGGGCGCGUUGCAAAGGGCACUUGAAAUAGCGGAACGUUCCGGAAUUUGAUUGACAUUUCGAACGCACCCAUAGAAAGUUCUCGAUUUUGUAGCCCUCUGGUGGAAUAAAAAAGCCCUAUCGACAACAUCCUCUUGAAAAUUGAAUUUGCUCCGAGAAAGAAGUCAGUGCGGUUGAGGCAUUCGUUGCGAUAAGUACAUAGUUUUUUUUUCAACUCUGGGUGGCUCCGCCUCGGAGGGCACUUACUGGGCCCUGGUACCACCUGAUAAAGUGAUACUCAUGAUAUCAGAGUGGUUCUGGGACUAUUGAUAAUUAUUCAUUUAACGCACACAGAAAAUUGUAAUGGUCUAUAAAAAUGAAACAGAAUCGUAAAAAAAAUAAGUAGCGUCGGGAAAUUUGCCUGAAAAAAUCUGGUCAUCAUUGAAAAUUUUAUCGAAGUGAUGAUGAAAAUGUACAUCUGAACACGCAAGUUUUAAUAUAUCAGAACCCGUAAAUUCAAUGAUUUCAAUGAAAUUGAAAAACAGAGGUAAAAUCCAUCAACUCCAGAGCCAACUCUGAACAAAUUUACACGUGUUCAUGAAUAAAAUGUAAAUUCAAUAAUUUCGAAGAAAUGGAAAAACAAAGGCAGAAUUCAUCAACUCCAGAGCCAACCCUCAACAAAAUUUGUAUGUGCUCAUGAAUAAAAUAAUUUAAAUGUAAAAUAAAAUAAAAGGCAGGAUUCAUCAACUCCAGAGCCAGCUUCGAACAAAGUUACACGUGUUCAUAAAUAAAAUAAUUUAAAUAAAAGAAGAAGAUAGUUCCAGUGAUCAUAUAAAUUUACACAAUGAAGAAGGGCGUACGAUGUCUACAUCUUCAAAGCCAAAAGUACAACUAGCAGCAAUGUCAACAGUCCACGUGGCAUUACGAUUUUGUGAGUGCUUUGAAUGCAUAAUUGUCAGUUGACUCAUUAGAACCACUCUGGUACCACUUGAGAUUAGAAAAUUAUCUAUCACUUCAAAAAAAAUUCAUCUCAGAUUAAUAAAAUAAUUAAGCACUUUUUUUUUUUUUCUUUUUCACUCUUGUAUAGAGUAAAUAUUAUUGAGUUUUUCACUCUUGCAUAUAGAGAUAAUAAUAUUGCGUUUUUUUUUUUUUUUUUUAAUGACCAUGAGCAAGAACUGAAACUCAGGUAAACAAAAACACUAGUUAUUAUAUUAGUUUAAGUUUAGUUUUUAUAUAUAAUAUAAACGGUUGUCACGGUUGAUAAAAUUUUCAAUUAAUCUCUUAUAUUAAGUACAAGAUUAUUAGUCAGUAAUCAUCAAUAACUCUAAAAACUAAAAAAUAGUUAUUAUAAUAGUUUAGGUUUAGGUUUAUAAAUAUAUAAACCAUUGUGUCACUGUUGGUAAAAAUUUUAAUGAAUCUCUUAUAUUAAGUAGAAGAUUAUUGGUAAGUUAUAUCAUCAAUAACUCUAAAAUAAUAUAAUUUAUAAUUAUAAUUAUAUUAUAUAUUGUAAACCUUUUUUCUGAGGUUGUUAUAUUGUUAAAAAGUUUGAUCAAUCUAGUAUAUUAUCUAAUUUUUCUUAUGUUGUUUCUCUUUUUUAAUAUAAUCGAUAUUUAAAUAUUCAUAUUCAAUUUGAUCACGGUCAAGUUAAUUCGUACAAUGUACGUUCAUAAGAAUCAAGAGGCACAGCAGUGUCUCGUGUCAAGUGUUAGGAAGAAAAUAUAAUAAUGAAAAAAUAAUUCAUUAUUAAUGCAUUAAUGAUUAUACAGGUAAUAGUUAAUUAAUUAUUUAUGUAGCUUCAUAUCAAAAGAUAAAAAAAAAAAAUUUUUGUUUUUAUUAUAUUAGCACAAAUAAACCACCGCUACCUUCGAUGAGCAUAUAUGUAUAUAUAUAUAUAUUAUAAUAUAAUUACAUAUAAUAAAUAUAUAUAUAUAUAUGUAUAUAUCUAUAAAUAUUCUACGAUCGUCAAUAUAAUUAAAACACAUAUUCAUGAAAAAAUUCAAUAAAAUAAUAAUAAUUAUAUUUAAUCCACUAGCUAACUACGUUUACUGAUAAAAAACUAUCAAAUCAUUUAUAAUCGACUCAGUACUGUUGUAAACAAUUGAGUACAGCAGAUUAAAAGUGAUGUUAAUUGGUUAGGUUUAGUAAAUGAGUAUCGACUCUUUGAAAAAUAAGUUAAAUACUUAAUAAAAACAUGUAUAUCAUUAAGAUUAGUUUAGAAAUGACUUGAAAUGUUACCAUUUCUCAUAACGUCAUGUUAUUAAAAACAUAAGAUUAUUAUAUUAAAAAACUUUUUCUAAGUUAAAUGAAUAAUUUAAAUGA